UGAUCAGAGAAUAGUUAAAUUCUUUCGAUUGUAUGUUUCAUUUAUAAAUUGUUUUCCUUCUUGGAAAUAACAUACACACAAUUCUUGGAUAGGUUUUAGAGAUGGAAAGAAAAGUGAAGACAAAUAGUAAGAUGCAUAAUAUUGGAGUUGUGAUUAUAAUGAUGAUUGUGUUGGGUUGCACAGAUGCAAAAAAAUGUGGUGUAAAAUGUUACUUUCAAUGUUUAAUAUGGUUAGAUCCACGAUGUUAUGCUGAUUGCAUGAAUAAAUGUCACCGUGAUCAUGAUCCUCCUCUCAAUGUUUACGGUGAAUGCAUUAAUAGUUGUAGUGUGACCAAAUCUAAUAUAGGUGAUCAUGUUGUUCCGACAGCUGCUAUGAACUCUUGCUUACAAAAUUGUCAUGUCAAGUUUUUAAACAAUGCAUAAAAAUAAGGUUGUUAUAAAUAAUAUUAUGUGACUGUAAUACACAAAUAAAUGAGUUCUGCCUAUUUCUCCUUC